GCAGAAGUUGUGUCUCUCUGUUCUUCAUCUUUGUGUCUCCAGCACCAGGUGCAGUCUAACGAAGUUCUUGGUGCAUAGUGGGCACACGAUUUGCUCAAUGAAGGUUGAACCAAGGAACACCUGAAAACAAAUAGCAUGCUGCCCAUUUUAUAUCUAUUAAAGUGAUAUGAUUAAAUAUUAUGUCUAAAAUUCCUGUAACACAAAGAAUAAAGUGGAAUACGAAUAUACUUCAAGUUGUGAAAGGUCAAGGGCAACCCCACAUGCUAACUCUACCGUGGUAACAUGGUUUCACUAACAGGAAGGCAACACCAACGCGUAGGAUGUUGAUAACUCUUGGAACCCAUUCACUUACCUGAGGUUGGGAGGGGCUGGCAGUAAAGUGAAAGGCAACAUUUGUCCUGAGAAACGUAAGUGGCAGAAGGGAAAGGGGAAAAGUGAGAGAAAAGUAUAAGUUAGUGAGCAAAAAUUAUUUAUUUAAAAGAAAGCCAUCUUAAAGUAGACUCGAGGAGAGCUUCACCCUUGGUGAGGGGAGUUCUCGUCCCAUGAAACUGACGAAGCAGACUGCAUGGGGACUUGGUGGUUUCAACGCUCAAGAAUGACCAGACUGGGGAAGGGGAUUAUUAUUUUUAUGUCUUUAAAUAUCCAUGAAGCCAUAUCUAUAUAAGGUAGUUGUUUACUUUUGUAGCCACUUUUGCCUUGGGACUCUCUUGUGCUUGAUUUUACAGUCAAGCACAGGGUUUAGGUAACAGAAGUGGGCUGAAGGAGAGAGGAAACCCAGGUUCAAGGUCCUUUUGGAUACUGUAGAUACUAUUUCAAAAUAAUUUUGAUGGACCCAUGGCAAAAUGGAUCACUUUUUACUAAACACGGUGAAUAGAUAACCACAUGGGAUGGUGGCUAGGGACCGAAACAUGCCCUUACUAUCCCCAAAUAGCUCCCUGAUUGCUGCCACACUGGCUGAAAUUCCCCAAGAUUUAGUUCCCUUUGGGUUAGGCAUUGCCUUCUAAGACCCUCCUUUAAAAUAUAAAUACCACCAAAAGAAUAUAAUGAGGCUUUUUUCUCUUCAAUUAGUAAUUUACUGUGAAUUACAUUAUUAGAUACUUUCAUUCUUCCAUGUAAGACAGCAAUGAUCUAGGCACUGAAGAAAGGAGAGUGUGAAGAGAUAGGAAGCAUAAAUUGGUAGCAUAGAGGGCUGUCUGCCAUGAGCAUCUAUGAAACAGUUCAAGUGUUUGUCACAAAGACAAAUGUGGUCUUCUCUAUAGUUUUAUAAGGACUACUUUGGGCUUUUGCCUUUCUGGCUCUUGCCUCAUCGUUAGCCAUGAAGAUCAUGCACACAAGUCCACGGCAGUCUCAGACCCCCAGGCUGCUGAACCCCACACCUGGGGGUGCAUGCUCCUGCCCCUCCAAUGUGCCCUGCUUUUCUGGGCAUCUGAACUUGAACUUCUGGGAUUUCUCAUUAGCUUCAUCCCCUGGGGCUCUCUGAAGAUUUUUUUCUCUCCACUCUUGAUUUUCCUUUCAUAAAAAUUAAAUACCUGUUUUAAAAUUAAUGAUUUCUUUAGAAAGGGCAUUUCAAAACAUUUAAGCAAGAGGUGUAUAAUUAGAGGUGUUAUUUAGAAGUCAUAAAAUUUGAGCACUAUUUAUAAAGGUAAUGACCACAACUUAGGCUGUCAUCAGGCCGGGCUCGGAAUUUAGCUCACAACAAUAGAUGUAAUUUUUAUAUAUCUACUUGUAACAGAAAUCAUCAUCAAUGUUGAGGAUUGUUUCUUCUGAAGCAGAACUGAAAACUUCUGUCCGUAAGUCGCCUAAAGAAGCCAAACAUUCAGUUCUCAAAAGGUUCUAAUUAAGCUUACAGAAGACCAUUCCUACAAUUCAAAUAUGCUACCACCAAGUGACACUGCCACUGCUACCAGGUGACACUUGAUUGAUUGAUUAAAGACAGAGAUCAGUUGAUAAAAGCAAGGCUUCUCUGCAGUUCAAACUGCACUCUAUGGAAAAGAUCAAUUAAGUUCUAGGACAUUGAAGAAAACCAAAUGUAGUGAAGUUGCCUGGAAGAAAACCCACUUACAGUCCUUGGAAGAGCAGAGGAACCUGCCAGGACAGCACCUCUUUCUGCUGACGAACCACCACAAGGACCGGGUAGUUGAGAUUCUCAGAGGAACUGUUCACAUACACCCUCACGGCGGUCACCUGCAUGGCAGGGGAGAAAGAGAUGAGACCAAAUUAUAAAGCCUUCAAACAGCAGGCUGAGGAGUUUGAACGGAGCAGGCGACACAAGAUUUUGAGAAUGAACCCAGAACAGAAAAAGAAAGAUACUGAUGUGUUUUUCUUCUUACUUGAAUAUAAAUACUAAAGAUACAAAUAUCUAAAAAUAAAACAACACACACAAAGCCACCCUCCUUCAAAAACAAAUCCUAUGAGACCUUCAAUUGCUGAAAAACUUUAAUUUUGGGUUGGUAAAUCCUUCUUUGUUUCAAAUCAAAAUGUUAUGACCACACUUUAUUAAAGCCUAACAGAUGGCCUGAUGCUCCCACCAACAAUAAAUCAUGACGCUUCCCCAGCAACAGAUAUCACAGGACUGAGUAUUCUUCUCUUUCCCUUGCUCUAAGGUAUAAAUCAAUCCUUGACACAAAAUGCUUUUUUAUAUCAGUAACUCCAUAGGUCUUUCUGAAUACAUGCAUAUCAAUCCAAGAAUUUAACCCUAUUAUGGUUAUUUUAAAGACAGGAAAGUGAACAUGACUUUGGAUCUAGAUGGUGUUAGUGUUUUCUUUCUUUCUUUUGUUUUUUUCUUUCUUGAGACAGAGUCUCCCUCUGUCGCCUAGGUUGGAGU